rnacentral:lncRNA from 1 species
AAAAACACAAUUUCCCCUUCUAAACCCUUAAUUUUUCUCCAAUUGCUUCCUCGCAUAUGUGUUUCUCCCCUAAAUUUUCUCCAUUCCUCAUGUGCGCGUUUCUUCCCAUUUCGGCCAUCUUAAGUCUCGUCGCCACCACUUUCCCCCUCGUGCCCGUCCGUCCAAACCUCCUCCUCAUCGUCACCAACACCCCGUCGCCACCACCCCCGUCUUCUCCAAACCUCUGCAAUCAACUUGAAGCUUCAAAUCGUGGACAUCGGUCGUCACCCCUCCGCCGGUAAGCUUCUCUUCGUUAUCUCUUUCUCUCUCUCUCUAUGAAGUUCUUCUUUGUUGUGGUUACUCUUAACAAAUAUUUUGUAGACCUCAAAGAUAGGCCCACACAUAUUCUAACACAAGUAUUUUCCAGUACAUUACUGCAUGCAUGCAACUACUAAAAUCACUUUUGAGUAAACUCAUGUGAAAAAAAAUUAAAUCCUUUUUAUUUAUAAAGUUUUGAAUUUUUUUUAAUAAAAUAAUAAAUCAAUUAGCAAUUAACAAUUAUCAAAUCCAAUUCAAGUUACCCGGUCCGAUUCUAAAUGAAAUAGAACAAUUAAAUAAAACGUAAAUGUUUUCUCUAAUUAAAAUCAAAACAUGACAAAUAUGAUCCUAAGUGCGAAAGCUAACACUGUUCUCAUGGCUCGCCUACGAACCCUUGUUGUCAUUUGGUGUCUUGUCUUGGUUCUUACUUGAAAAAUGUAACAUAGAUAUACUAAAAAGUUGAGUAUAAAUAUACUAAAAGUUGAGUAUAAAUAUACUAAAUAGUUGAGUAUAAAUAUACUCAGUAAGUAACUCCUACUGUUGCAGUUAAACUAAGCAUUAACUUUCUUAAAAUGCAUUGUACUAAUAAUCACGAAGGAAACACAAACUGAUGAAUCUAGUGGGAAACAAAAACUGGUGAAUCCCAAAGAAAAGCAUAGGCUGGUGAAUCUCGAAGGAAAAUACAAACUGGGACCAGUGAAUUUCGAAUAAGACUGGUGAAUCUCAAAGAAAACACAGAUUGGGACCGAUGAAUUCCAUCUCGAAGGAAACAUUGACGGGGAUCGGUGAAUCCCAAAGGAAACGCAUACAGGCUGGGACUAUUGAAUCCCGAAGGAAACAUAAACUGGUGGGAAACACAUCGUUACAAGCUAGGGGCAACAACUAGUAAGCCAUAACAUCAUACACAACGUCGAGUAGCAGUCACAGAAAUAGUCAAUCAUCUCAACCAUUGACUCACUUAUAAUUUUAUUUCACUCGCAUGCUAAAUUCAAUCAUAUACUAUCAUCCAAUUAUGAGCUUCAUCAUAGUCACAUACGCAAAAUAAACUCAGUACCAUUCAUGCCACAUCCUAAAUUCAUUCUAGGUAGCCUAGCUCAAGGACGGUUCUAAUAGUAAGUUACUUGUCUCAACUAGUUUAAUUCAAAAAAUAAACAACCACAACCUAUAAAACGAAAGAUUAAAUCACCACCUACACAACAACUCAGUUAUCAGCAUAAGUUACGCGUCCUGAUCAUAUUCUUAUGUGUUUUACCUCAUUAUUCUAAUAGAAAGGACUAUAAUAAUAGAUGUUUAUGCACGUUAUCAUGAGGCUUGACAAUAGUAACCCACUUUGUGCUCCAAACGCCCCUUAAUAUUUCACAUCAAUAGAGCAUAUUAAUUCACAUAUUUGAAAAAAAUGUCAAUUAAUCCUCUACUUAAGUCAUAAAAACACAAGAGUAUGAAAUUUGCUUUCAAAAUAUAAGUAUCACCCUCAGUAUGAAUUUAGUGUUGCUCUCGCUAGUAAUGCACUAUUGAUGUGAUUAUGUUUCAGAGUAUGAAUGAUUUGACAAAUUUUCUAAAAUGAACCCAACUAAUCACCUCAAAAUAGUAACCCAAAAGUGGUUGCCCAAAACCUAACGAGAAAUUUGAAACAUUAGAGGAUUUGCAAGGAAUUUUUAGCAGCAGGUUGGGUUUUUUGGUUUUAGUAUGCAAAAGGUUAGAUUGCAAGAGAUAUUGCUAAUCAUAGCACAAGAUGAUCAAUAGACAAUUGGAGGUGGUUUUUGGUGAGAUCACUUCACAUGAAAUAGAUCUUCUACAACUGUUGUUGAUGGCAAAGAGGUCUUGCUCGAGGAGGUCAUAAAUGGUGAAAUGGGUACUUGACAGUGUCACUACCUAGUGAUGAUGGACUCAGAGGGAGUUGUUUCCUGGUAUACAUGUGGCAAUUUUAGUGAACUUAUCCCUGAGUUACAUGUGUACCAAUGUAUUAAAUAUCACUAUAUACAACAAGAUAGUAUUCUGUGUCAAUGCUAGCACAGUAGGCCAUUAUCAUGUACUUAUAUAUCAUUUCAACGUAACAAUAUAUAUGAUCUCUCAUUUUAUGGGUCAAUAGCAGUACAGAUGUAGAUCAUUGAAUUGGAUUACCAAUUCUUGACGUUUUGAUUA